GCCCGGGUGGCGGAAUUGGCAGACGCGCUGGACUCAAAAUCCAGUGAUGGCAACAUCGUGAGAGUUCAACUCUCUCCCCGGGCACCA
rnacentral:tRNA from 3 species